UUUGUGUUCGAUGCAAUGGCCAGAAAGCGAGUUGUGAACUACUACUUCGACUACUGGGGCAAAGGGACGAUGGUGAUUGUGAGUUCAGGUGUUCAACAAGCUCCAAGUGUCUUCCCUUUGCUUAGUUGUGGGACUCCAGUAAAUGGCUACGUCACUGUGGCCUGCAUGGCAAAAAAUUUCUUGCCUGACGAUUUGACCAUCACAUGGAGUCAGGUCGGAGGAGGUGAUCUGGGGGGCCGCUUCCUUCAGUAUCCAUCUGUACGGGACAACGAUAAAUUCACCGCUGUCAGCCACCUGCAAGUGAAACAAUCCGACUGGAACAAUGAGAAGGCCUACCAAUGUUCCGCAGCAGUUCCGGGUGUUCCCACCAAGGAAGCAACAGUCCAGAAACCUAAAGUCGUAAUCAAGUCCGCCGCUCUUUAUCUAAUGAUCCCGACUGAGGACCAGCUAAAGCACAACAAGACCGCUUCCUUUGCCUGCUUUGCCAGCGAAUUUUCUCCCAAGGAACUCACUUUUACAUGGAGCAAGAAUGGCAAGAAGUUGACUGGUGACAUCACAACCCUGCCCGUGGUGGAAAUUAGCGGAAACUUCAGCGCCUCCACCUUUCUGCGUCUUUCUGAAAAUCAGUGGAAAUCUGGAGACAACGUCUCCUGUGCAAUUAAACACCAAGGCGGAGACUUCGUAAGGACGGCCAUUUACAAAAAUCCCUCUAGCGAUUGUGGAGGAAUUCCCGUUCAGGUGACAAUCCCCGAACCAUCCACCACGGAGCUGUUCCUGCAUGGCCGGGUGGAGCUGAAAUGCCAAAUCACCGGGGAAUUGGGAGUCGUCAGCGAUGUUGAGUGGCGAAACGGAGAUGGCACGGUCCUCGUGUCCGACAGCAAAGUUGUGGAAAAUUCCCGAAUCGUAACGCUCCUGGCCAAGAAAGACGACUGGGCCAAUGGAACAAAGUACACAUGCAUAGUGAUGCACGAUUGUUCCGGACCUCCAAUUUCCACGCCCUACAGUCGAGAUAUCGAAGACUGCAACUCCAUUGAUGUGGAGGAUGACUCCGGCGCAGCCGACACUGCCAUUGCCUUCAUCUUCCUCUUCCUCAUCUCUCUGUUCUACAGCAUCGGAGCUACUGCCAUCAAGGUGAAAUGAGAGACACACAAGAAGAAACCUGGUUGUGUGCUUAUGUGUGUGUGUGUGUGUGUGUGUUCUGCUAGUGCAAAUAUCUCUUAUAGACAUAAGCAUGAUUUUCUACUGAAACAGUCCUCUGUGUUUGUAAAUGACAAUAUAAUAUGAUAUCCUGUGAUGUUACUCUGUACAUAUUUCACUGUAACUCCAAAUAUUUCAAAUAAAACAUGCCGCUUGCCUGUCUUUGAAAAAGACAAA